rnacentral:lncRNA from 10 species
ACAUCUAUUAGACAAUGUCAAUCUUUCUUUUCAGUUGUAUGCUUAGCUUAGCCUUUCCACUUGGGACUGAUGGCUCAGCCAGUCCUCCAAGUCUACGAUCCUAGAACUUAACUGGAGGAGCAAAUGGCUUUAAACUGACAAGUCUCCCCAUUUGGAAAGAUAAGGGAGGAGAGGACUAGUGUGCAUUUUGCCUCACCUAAGAUUUUGUACUUCUCUGAACAAAUAUUUUCUAGUCUAAUUUUCAACUUAUGACCCAUUGAGCAAAACAGAAAGUUAUUGCAUGUUUUUCAAUCCCAUAUCUUCAGUAGGUAACAUCCUCCUCCUCAAUAUGUGGUAUUAUGUGGAAUAUAUUUAGCAGCAACUCUCUCAUAUAUAUUCUACUCAGGUUAAUUUUUCAUGAAUAGGCAGUAAUUCUCAUGGUUUAAAAAUACCCAAAAUGUACAUGUGAAAAGUCUCCCCAGUUUCCUCACCCACUGAAGUCUGUCCAGUUUCUUCACCCACUGUGAUUCAUUUCUUAUGCAUCCUCUCAGAGCUUCCUAAUGAGUAGAAAAGCAAACAGAAAUAUCAUCUCUAUGGUUUUAGAAUAAUGCAGGUUGCUCCAGUUUUAUCUGUUCCACUGAUAGGGGGAGAGGAGAAGGAUGGUGUCUUGGAAGCUUUGAAGAGCCUCACACCAAAUACAAUUUGGGCAAGGUGUGAGAUUCCACCUGACUCUCUUUGCUAAGCUAAGCAUACAAUUGAAAAGAAAGAUUGACAUUGUCUAAUAGAUGUUUGAAA